CCCUAACCGUGCAAAGGUAGCAUAAUCAUUUGCCUUUUAAUUGGAGGCUUGUAUGAAUGGUUUGACGAGGGCUAAGCUGUCUCUUUUAAAAUAUUUAGAAAUUAACUUUUAGGUGAAGAGGCCUAAAUUUGGCUGAGGGACAAGAAGACCCUGUUGAGCUUUAGUUUUAUGCUAAAUGGAUUAUUAUGAUAUUUGUAAUAAGCGUGGACCUAGGUGUAAUGGGAUUUUAGUAUGAAUCUUUAGUUGGGGCGACUGAGGAACAGCUAGAGCUUCCUUUGGUUUAGAAGGGCAGGUAGUGUGCCGGAAAAUGGUGUAUUCUUGCAGGUUGUUUUGAUCCAGUAGAAUACUGAUUAAAGGAAAAAGUUACCACAGGGAUAACAGCGUAAUCUUUCUGGAGAGAUCUUAUCGAAAGGAGGGUUUGCGACCUCGAUGUUGGACUAA
rnacentral:rRNA from 1 species